UUGUCCAGAGUUGAGAGACCUUAUCCUAAUCUAGUAUUGCUCCACGAGAAUCACUUUGGCGACGUGAUGGCGAAUGGAUUGACAAAGCACUAGCAUGUAGACAAAAAGUAUGUCCUGUUCUGGGUUUGCGUUGGUUGCGUGGUAGCUCAAAUUGGGUAUAUGGUAUCGACCACAGUAAGAUUUGGGUACUGUAAAAAACAACCCUUUUUCUUUUAUCAUUUCUGUAACUGGUUGGGGGCAUUCUUAAAUGGAAAUUUGUCAUUUAGGGUGUUGCGGAUCUGUAUUCUUUGGUCACAUGAAAUUCUGAUCCUCAUCUUGUUUUAGAGUUCUAGUUUGUUGAACUACACUGGGUGGAAAGUGUAAGUUCCUUGAAGGUUUUAGGAUUUAGAGAGGUGGCUUUCCAUACGGUUUGAAUCGCUUCUGAGCUUUUCUUUGGUUACCAAACAAUUGGAGAAGGGGUUGGAUUUAUGAGCCACGUAAGAUGGGAAGCUUAGCCUGAUGAUUUUGGACUUCUGAUUGCCUGGGUUCUGGUAAAAAUCACAAUCCCACCUUUUGGGUUUCCUGGAAGUACACUUUUAGAGGAUACAUGACACAGGAGAACUUUGUGGAUGUUCUUUCCUUUUAUCUCAACUUCUCAGUUAAAAGGAAAGAUCAUUAAGAUUUAUGAUAGUUAUUGAAAGUUGAAACUGCUGCCUGACGAUCUCAGUUCUUCCAAUAUGGACAACAAUAAGACGAUUGUUUGGUUUAGAAGGGACCUCAGGGUUGAUGACAAUCCUGCCUUAGCUGCUGCUGCCAGCAGUGGUAGUGUCUUUCCGGUUUAUAUAUGGUGUCCUAAGGAAGAGGGACAGUUUUACCCAGGUCGAGUAUCAAGGUGGUGGCUGAAGCAAUCUCUUGCCAACUUGGGAAAGUCCCUGAAAACUCUUGGGGCUGAACUUGUGCUGAUCAAGACCAAUAGUACUCUUGCAGCUCUUUUAGAGUGCAUCAACGCCACGGGGGCAACUAAAGUUGUAUAUAAUCAUCUCUAUGAUCCGGUAUCUCUUGUUCGAGAUCACAAUGUCAAAGAAAAGCUAGUGGAGCUUGGCAUUUCUGUUCAAAGCUAUAACGGAGAUUUGUUGUAUGAACCAUGGGAUAUAUAUGAUGAAAGAGGCAAUGCUUUGGUGACUUUCGAUGCAUAUUGGGAAAAAUGCUUGUACAUGCAAAAGGAACCUGUUUCACAUCUUCCUCCACGACGAUUGGUGCCUGCUGCAGGUAAAGUUGAGAAAUAUUCAGUUGAAGAAUUAGGUCUUGAAGACGAGUUAGAAAAGUCUAGCAAUGCCUUACUAGGAAGAGCGUGGUCUCCUGGUUGGAGCAAAGCUGAGAAGGUUUUUGCUGAAUUUGUUGAACGGCAUCUACUUGAAUACUCGAAGAAUAGGCAAAAGGUUGGUGGAAACUCCACGUCACUUUUGUCCCCAUAUCUUCAUUUCGGAGAACUAAGUGUGAGGAAAGUCUUUCAAUGCGCCCGAAUGAAGCAAAUCUUAUGGGCAGAAGCAAAAAACUCAGAAGGGGAAGAAAGUGUGACUCUAUUUCUUAGGGCCAUUGGUUUUAGAGAAUACUCCCGUUAUCUUUGUUUUAACUUUCCAUUCACCCAUGAGAGAUCAUUGCUGAGCAACUUAAAAUAUUUCCCAUGGAAUGCAAACCAGGCCAAUUUUAAGGCUUGGAGACAGGGGCAGACUGGUUACCCAUUGGUUGAUGCAGGAAUGAGGGAGCUUUGGGCAACUGGUUGGAUACACAACAGGAUAAGAGUGAUUGUCUCAAGUUUUGCAGUGAAGUUUUUGCUUCUUCCCUGGAGAUGGGGCAUGAAGUAUUUCUGGGACACACUUUUAGAUGCAGACUUGGAGAGUGACAUCCUUGGUUGGCAGUAUAUCUCAGGAAGCUUACCAGAUGGCCAUGAACUUGAACGCUUGGACUGCCCACAGAUUCAGGGUUCCAAAUUUGAUCCAGAGGGUGAGUAUGUAAGGCAAUGGUUGCCUGAGCUAGCACGGAUGCCAACUGAGUGGAUCCAUCAUCCUUGGGAUGCACCCCCCACUGUGCUUAAAGCUGCUGGGGUGGAGUUGGGACUAAACUAUCGAAAUCCUAUAAUUGAUGAGGAUUUGGCGAGGCAGCGACUGACUGAAGCUAUAUUCAAGAUGUGGGAAAUGGAAGCUGCUGCAAUGGCUGGGAAAAAUGAAAUCGUUGUUGAUAAUUCUGAAAAUACUGAUAAUUUGCCCAUUCCAAAGAUCAUCUUGAGGGAUAUAACUCCAUGUCCUACCUAUUCGUCAAAUGACCAGAGGGUGCCAACCAUCAACAAUUCCAAGAAUGGCCCACUCAGCAAGAAGAGACCUAAACAUAACGAAGAUGAAAGGCAGCAACUGAAUAAUUUGCAGGAUCGCACUAGUGAAGCUGGUAGCACGAGGAGGGAAGAACAAUUGUGCUCAACAGCCGAAUCUUCAGCAGCUAAGAAGCAAAACACCAGCAGAUGCUCAUUUUCUGUUCCCCACUCUUUUUCCCCAAUGGCGGGUGAAUCGUUGCAGGAGUACGAGUCAUUUGAAUUGAAUCAGCCACAGAAGGAUCAGAUUGAUAUGGAACGCAGUUGAAGCACAGAUGCCAGUUCUGGAACAUGGCUUGGAAUAGAGAUUUUGCGAAGGUUUGGUGUCAAGGAUAAGCAGCAGAAAUAUUAGAACCAAACUAAGAGAGAAUAGUAGCAGCUAGCAGGGCAUCAUGUAAAUAUGGCCGGAGGAAAUAAAAGCAAAAGCAAUACUAAGCUGGACAGGGAGGAUAUCUACUCUUGCAGGUGUUACGUGAGAGCAGCAGCCAUAUUAGCCAAAUAUCCAGUGGCGACUGUCUGUGAGAUCAUUUGCUGAAAGAUAAUCCUUCAAUGCUAGCUUGGAUGCUGCUAUUUGACAGCACUUCCUUCCAACAUCACGCGAUAGCUUUUGAUGUGUUUGUGUUGUGAAUGUACAUUUGCUUGCGGCUGAUCAUUCUGUAUAAUCUGUUAUGUAGGUAUACUUACGAGCCAUAUGUAUCUAUGUCCACUUUUUAACACAGGAUCUCAAAUUUUAUA